CGACCUUCAACUUCCUCAACCUUCCAAACGCUGCAAAACUGCCCUUACGAUGUCCAACAGGAAUCGUCCUAAUUCAAUGCCUGCUAAACCCAGGAAACCCGCUUGAGGUGCAGAUUUUGUCAAUUCGCAUCGAAAUACACAACCACCGACAACAAUCCCAACGCCGACUCGCCCUCUCAGCCAACGUCUUUCGCCAUGAGCACCUCUCACGCACCACGCCUUCCCCACAGUUCUCCGAUUCCAAUUUUCCGCAAGGAAUGUCGCCGCUACCACCUCAUCGAGAUCUGGACCCCCACAGUACGUCGCAGCUUCGAUCCCGUAUCGGGUACCCUCAAGCUUGCCGCGCUCGGAUCUACUGUGGUCAGCUUCCUGUCCCCUGGGACAGGCCAGUCCCGUGAGCGUGAAUUGGUCUCGGAACUUAACCCUAAAUACACAUUUGGUUAAGCAAAGUCUUGCGCUACUCAUAGUCAUUCGGUCCCCUCCUUCUAUGCCCGCGUUGCUCAAUGGUCGGGUUGCUGCUGGCCGCUGAAAAGUGGUGCAGCCCCGGUUCCGGCGGCGACAUGGGCGGACCGGCGGGGUUCGAGCUCCAGUCACCCCUUCGCGGGUGGGCGACCGUCUCUUCCCAUGAGUCCACACGGUAAGCGCCUCUGGUCCGAGGCCGCUCGUCGGGAUGAGACACUGGAACCAGUACUCUGGUCACAACGGAUUGUCUGCGGCGGUGUUGGUUAGACGACUGAGACCGGUGAACACACUCUUGCAUGCUCUUUGUGGUUGCCUCCGUUCGGAGCAGCCUUCGGAAUGAGAGGGAGAGCGCAGCCUCGGCUUCACACGGUCAUCUAGCACAUUUCAUCUCCCCGCCUACAGCUCGCCUCGCAGGAAUCACCUCUGGGUGAGCGAGGGCCGCUAGGCUGCCCACGGAAAUGUCAACGGAUGAUACCCAACUCGCCGUGCUGCCACGCUCUCGGUACCCUCGACUUCCAACCCCCCUCUGCAUGCGUGUCCCGCCUUCUCACGACUCCGCCGACCCCCACGGACCGCGCCACGGCAACACACCAUGCCCGACGCGUCAUGUGUCUCAAAAACACCAUGAGGUUCGACCAGGCGCAUUAACUCGUCCUCGUAGGCCCUAUCCUACGUCCGGCGAGACGCCAAAACACCGCCAUGUCUCCGACACGGCACCUUCCCCCCUUCCUAGGCCCUCUUUAUGGUUUGUGGCAAGGAGAUGAUAGCACGGUUUUUUUGAGGAUGUCUUUUGUCCGUGCGGUACCCGCCCUUCUUUCGUUGUGCUUGUCUUUUGGCAGGGCGGCGUUGGAAGAGGAAACAAAAACUAGUCCCUGUUGGCAGUGCGAUACAUACGGAGAGACAUUGGCUGGGCGGCCGACCACUGGGAUUUGCGACUCUGGUUGCCGGUUUUGACGAGAUCUGCAUCGACGACAGAGGGCUUCGACUACGGGUUUAACGGUGCGGCGGAUUGGGGCAUGUUGUGAGGGAUCGGCUGGGCUGGGGGUGUUCGGUUGGCUGCCUGAGAACCAAUGCUUCAAGCCGGGUGCUCCGGAUGAAGGGUGGUUGGUUGCGACGGACCAGGCACCGGGACCCAUCUUGAGUUGGAGUCAAAGCUUCGUGCUUGUCUGGUUGUCCGGAACCCGUCUCUUCUGGCUGCCCGGAUUCUCGUGUUCUUCGGCGAGGGCUUUGCUGUUCGCAGUCAGCUAGUUGGAAAAGGACGGGCCCACGGGGGCGGUCCUGGCUGUCCUCCCUCCAGGAAUGGCGGGAGGGCAGUCCCUCUUUUUUGAGG
rfam:Chaetomium globosum CBS 148.51 scaffold_7 genomic scaffold, whole genome shotgun sequence.